CACUGAGCCAUCUCACCAGCCCCCGGGGAAUACUUUUUAAAAACGUCUUGCAUACCAGCAAGGCCUGGACUGGAGUGAUGGGGCAAGGCUGAGGAUGCGGAUGAAGAUGCAGAUUCAAGAUGGUUGUGAGAGCAAAACUGCUUAAAACCUUAGGGGCAGUCCCGCCCUACCCCCACGGAUGCCUCUAGCUAGGGAACCCUUUCUACAGUACAGUACCGAGGAACAGAGAAGAUGGCCCCACGAGUGAGCUCAAGUAGGAAGAACAAAGAGGAAAGGAUGCGUGAUGUUUGGACCAGCUCAGCAAAUCAACUCCAGGUGCCUCACAGACAGAGUGACCCGCUGGGUCUCCAGAAAGCUGUUUCACUGUGCCCUUUCACAGUCGUGACCAAAGGGAAGAAAAGAACUUUUUAAAGCACCAAAUAUACCCACCACAAAGGAGGAGAUGGAUAGGAUUUUCCCAUUUGCAUUAGAAACUUCUGUUCAUGAAAGUACAUGAAGAGACUGUUGAAAAGCCAGGCCCAGGAAGAGUCACAAUGGACAGUACUAACUGGAGAGAGUCAGAUGUGGAGUGCGGAGGAUUCCUGCAUAUCAGCAAGAAAAAUGUGCAAAAAUGACGAAGACAUAUUUUCCUGAAACGGAAACAUGAACAUAUGCAAAGCAGUUCUUGACCAUGUCAGAAUUCAGAAAAAUUCAGGUGCAAAAUUCCAGUAAGCUUCUCCUUUCUGUUACUGGUUGGACAAAUGCUGGAAGCUGGAUGGUGCCCUGCGUUCACGAGGCUACAGCUGAGAGCGCCUCCUCUUUAUGCAGGGUCUUGUGUAAUUAGAAAAAAGCACUUUGCGAGAUGACUUGGUACUAGUUUAUAAACAUGAACACUUGAUUAAAUAGUCUCACUCUUACUAAUUAACAGACUCCUUUGCAUAUAUGUUCUAGAAGAUAAAUGCAUGAGUGUUCACAGAAAUGUUAACAGGGAUAGCAAAACCAGAAAGCAGCCUGAAUUCAUCAGCCUGAAAAUGAAUCAGAAUCCCUCUUAAUAAUAGGAUUUAAGUAGACCAUUGUAAGCAAUGGGCGUGCAGUUGUAUAGAAUUAUCAGAUGCAAUGCAAAACGUCUUCAGUGUAGAUAUAGACUAUCUAUACAAUGAUUAUCAGACUUAAGGUCAAGUAGAAUAAUAGCAUAUACAGAAAUACACAUACAUACACAUACUCUCUCUCUCACACACACACACACAUACACACAAACACACACACAAUGAUUAAAACAAAACCUAAGAGCAUUAAAUGAAAAAUUUCAGAAAGGAGAUUAAUU